rnacentral:lncRNA from 1 species
CCCAGAUCGGGGCUAAAUUUCUCCCACCCCACUCGCCCCGCCAGCGGCUGCAGCUGCUGCUCCUGCAGCCGGGAGGGGAAAAUGUGGCCGGCUAACACGCAGCAGGAAACCUUUAUUUCAGAUUCGGUCAUUAAAGCGUGGGUUUCUGCUCGCGCCCUUUAACGAGGUGCCCACUCCCGGCCGCUAGCUGCAAUAUGAUCUUUGCUGCUUUGUGCAUUGGGCUUUGUUUUGGAUUUGGUUUUGGAAAAAGCGCGUCUAGACAACGAUUAUGUUGGUGGCAAGAGGAUGACAGACUUUAAGCAGAGAGACUAGAGAAACCACAUGUUGAACAUGGAAAAGCUGCUAUCAACCUCGGUUCCUGAAUAACCACAUGAGGGAGAGCCCCCCACCAACCCGAGAUACCUGUCCUGGAAUUUCAUAAUCUCAAAAAAAGCUGGAAUUUACCCACGUAGCACAGAGUGCCAGAGGUGAAACUGAGCCAUGAAGAAAUUAUACCCCUUGGCCAAGGUUACAUAGCUGGUAAGCAAAAGAGCCAGAAUUCAAACCCAGGCGAACAAGUUCCAGAGCUCAUGCUCUUAACUAGUAUACAACACUACGUCUCAACUUCAAAUUCAUUGUCCUGUUGAGUAGCCGUCCUGGGAGGCUGUACAGCUCCAUCUAUGUUGGCAUUGCUGGAAACAUUCCUGGACUUUCUUUGAUACGCCUGAUUACUGAUACAUUAGAAGCCAAUCCAAACAGAGAGAAAUCCCCCCAGCAGCUUCGUCUGGCAGUAUAAAAAGGAAGUGAGCCGUCCCUCUGGCUAGACGCAG